GGGGACGAGGAGCUGCGGGGGGCGGGGGCGCGGAGCCGCCGGGACCCGGGGGGAAGGGGGUGCCCACACGCCCGGCCCCUCUGCAGCUUCCAUCGCGUCACAUCGCGUCGCCCUCGGGACCCAGCAUAAUGGACGUCUUCUCAGCCUGUGGUGCGACCACCCACAGGGUUGGCGUACGUUACUCCAUCUCUACCGACCCGUGCACGCGCCGUGGAAUCCGGGACCUUCUGUUUCCGGAUCCCUGGAAACUUCUGCCCACGUUCCUCCCUAUGGUCUUCAUCCCCGCAGGCCAUGGCUUGGUUGUGUUUGCUUGGAGACUGGCUCCUGUGCUCGCUCUGGCUUCGUGGAAGUUGUCGUUUCCUCCUCCCGACAUCCCUCUGCGUGUCAGACACCUGUCACCGUGAUAAAAGUCGGUGGGCUCAGUUCACGACUGCUGAAAUUGGGGUGCCGUUUCCAGAGGGUCUCUGAUACAGGGGUUUUCUGGCUUGUGGGCAGACUGAGGGACUUACCUUGUACCAGGCCAUUUUGAUUUUCUAGUGUUUUCUUUUCCCUCCAGUUCCCCUGAAGGGCUUCCUUAGGGAAGGGCUCCAAGCCUUUUCGUUGCUCAGCAAGGAGCAUGUCGACCAUCCCAACUGUGCAGGCCGGGCCCCGCUCCCGCCGCCGCGCGCAGGUCAGGAGGGGCGAUCCGCGGCCCGUCUUUCGCGCACGCGGGCUGUGGCCAGCAGCCCGGGCACGCGGGGUUGGAGAGAGCCGGCGACGAGCUAGAGUUAGUCACAAACGCGUAGUGGUUGGUUGAAAAGAUUGUUUACUUACACCCAAAGAUGGUAGUGGUGUAGGCUGGACAGGUUUCCAGGCACAGCUCCCACUUAGAUCCUCGCUAGAGGACCAUGACAAAUUCAGUUGCUCCCAUGGAGUUGUUCAGGCUCCGUGGGUCCGGUUCGGUUGGGUUCGAAGGGUUCCCCGGAGUUGAGGCUCCAUGGGUUCGAAGUUUACAGGAAAGGGAUAUGUCUGGGAUUGCGAUCAGCGACAGGGAGAGGCUAGAAGCGAAAGCUCCAUAGGUUUGGUUCUGUUGCCUGCUUAGGGAAGGCGCGUUGGGUCCGCAGCGCUUGGAGAUCUUCACACAGAGUUCUCUCUCUCCCUCCUCCUUUUUCGCCCUCUCCAACUUGGGCGGAAACUACCCAAGCCUUUUAUACAGCUAGCAAGCCAAUAGCUAGCCGUCACGUGUGCCUACAUUUGGAACUGGCCAAUAAUGUGGCGCGAAUCCAAAUACAAAUGGCGGGAACUCCUUUGCAACGUGCAUCACUAGUGUGCAAAAGAAAUGCACCCUGCAAAGAAGCUGUAAUUUGGCAGGAAAUCCCUGUUGCACCAUUGUUCUCUCUCGCAGCAGAGAACUCUACCGUGCAAAGAAAGCUACAAACGGCGGGAAAAUAAUUUAGCGGUGCUGAAGCACACACACAAACAAAAACCACAACUUUGAGUUGUGACACCAACAUCAUGGGCAUGACUUAAUAUGCCGCGUUGCAUGAGGCCAGAAAGAGCUCUGGGUCUGUGAUGAUGAGGACCAUGGGGACAUCUCGAAUUUGGAGGACCUGCUGCCAGGUGAGUUGUGUCUGCCCCCUGCCCGGACUCCCCUCUCAGACAUGCUCCAUGCCCACAGUGACGGGGCCUGGAACCCACAGACCUGCCCGGCGCUGCCCUUCCAGGUUUCUGACCUUGAAUAGUUUAUGUAGUCAUGUGUCCAGGGAGGUGUUCCCAUGCACUGAAACUCCAAGGUGUGGAGAUGAGCAGCCUUUCCCUUUUCCUCCCCCUAACUACAACUGCUAGGGGACAUCCACAUAUAUUGUUUUGAUGUUCAGGCACAGGCCUGGUUUCCCUGGGAUAUCAUGGUCCUAAUUUUCCAUCUUCAUUUAGAUGAAAGAAUUAGCAAAAGUUGAUUCCUCCGCCCAAUUUAGCCAUGCCUCUAUUUCACCAUCUCCCGAGGCAUGAUGGGAUUUGUAGUCCCCCAUGGAAAUUGCAUGGUGGGACAAAGCUCUGUGUAGCUAUUAUUGUAGCACAAACGAGAGGCCUGGGGCUCUGCCUGGUGUCUCCUGGACAGGUUGAGCAGAACCAAGGAAGGGUUGAAUCCUGGUCUCGGGCUGCAUUGAAAGGCUUCAUGAAGUGGGUGGGAUUCACAAGCUUUCAUGUUGCAGGGGAAAGUGGAUCCCCCGCGGCUCAUGCCUUUGUCUUACGUCUCUGGGAUGUGAAUGUAACAGAGCUCGGGACUCAGCAGGGAGUGCACAUGCAGGUUCAUGCCCAGGCCUUUGUCCCAGGGCAGAUUCUGGUGACAUGCAGGCCACCUGGGCUUCAUCAGCAGAGGAAAGCCACAUAGGCCUGCUCCAAUCUCCAGACCUUUCCCUGGAUGUAGGAAGGAAGAACAGCCCUGUUCCUUCCAAGAAAUAGACCCACAGCAAUGAGUCUUCCCCUCUCAGAGCAGGUUAUGGAGUCAGGAGGGAUGAACCAUAUGGGCUUUUUGUACCAAGGAGAAGCAGCUGGUCCAGUGUAAGGCCAUUUUCCCCACACACCUCUGGCUUCUGGUGCAUCCCAAAAAUCUGCCAUGACACUGUCCUCCCUGGUACAUGAUGCUGCUCUCAGGACUGCCAGUGAUCACAGGUGAGUGCUGGAGAGCAGUGCCACCAAUGCACUUUGGCUUUCAGAGCAUGUCAACCCAGCCAGGUGGAGGCCUUAGCAUCAUCUCCCCCUGGACCCACUGGUGCUGUGGUUUCUGCUGAUUCUGCUUCUAGUCUCUUGGGCCCCUUAGAGCAGGAAGCCAUUUAGGUCCUGUCCCAGCACAUGUCCCAUGUGGGUUUCUCCCUCCAGGGUCUGAGAAGAUGGGGCUGACAGCUGCGCCCUAAAUCCUGAGCAUCUGGUUCUGACCUUCACCGAGCAGGGAACAUUAGCUCAGCACAGGGUCAUGCCCCUCCCUCACCCCCAGCACUUGUGGUUUGGCAGGAAGACCUUGUUCUCUUCAGAAGACUUACGUGCCAAGGAGGCACCUGGCUCCUGAGAAGUGAUGAGAAACUUGAGUCUGGAAGAAGGGUCUGCAAGCCUGGAGCCACCCUGGACUUCCUCUGGGGGUUUGGUCAAGGGGGAGUCCCUGAGACCUGAGGAAGACCAAUGGCUCCAGAGCCAGGGGAGACCCCAAAAACAGAGGAAGAGCGUAGCAAGGAAGCAGAUGCCAUCUUCCCUUGGGUGUGAGAGUGGAGAAAGGACAGAGUCCAGAGAGAGCCCUGGGCACAGGAAAGGAUUUGUGGAGAUGAAGCACCAUAAGACAAAGUUCCACCGGAAAGAGACCCUGCGGCUGAACAAAGCCAGUGGGAAGGGCCUGAAAGAAAAGCAGGAGGUCCCCACCAAGCCCAGGGGCAAAGCCCACCCCUGCCCUGAGUGCUGGAACACCUUUUGCUGCCCCUCACACCAGGCUCUGCCAUGGUGGUGUGCUGAAUGUGGGAAGAGCUUCACCCGUUCCUCCCACCUGGCUGUGCACUAGUGCAUCCAUACCAGGGAGAAACCACAUCAGUGCUCUGAGUGUGGGAAGAGCUUCAACACAGCCACACAGGGAAGUAUUACCAGAUUUGCCCAUUACUUUGGGGUGUGCUCAUUUCCGGGAUACGUUUCUAGGGUCUUGGUAAUUCUGUCAAUGUGUUGCUUUGCGUUACUUGUGUUUCUAUACGGAGCUGUAUAUCUCCCUUCUGCAAGUCCUCACCCUACUGGAGCUAUCUUGCAGGACUCAGUCUCAGUGGGGCUGGGUUCCUCCAGUCACCAAAUCAGUCAUACACACAAACACACACAAAUUAAUGUGACACGCCUGACCCAGCCGGGUUGAUCAGCAUGGACAGGCUGACACCCUCAUAUGCCAAGAAUCAGUUCAUCAGAGCAACACUAAACCGCAGUCAGACACAAGCGCAUGGGUAAACAGAAUCCCUCUGAAUCCGGCUGGGUGUCCAGCUGACACCCUCACAGGCCAGCAUUCAGUUCAUUAGGGCACGUCUGAGUCAAACUGGGUCAAUCAGCCUGUACAAGCUGAUCCCCUUAUGUGUUUCAAACUCAGCACAUCCCAAUCUUUGGCCUCUUGAUGAGCAGACCCCACAGUAUUUUUGGGCUUCACAGGGAUCUUUAGCUUAAGUAAAAGCAGCGUUGCUGCAGAGCAUGUAAGGAGGAGAAGUAGAGAAGGAAAAAUGUACCCAGUUACUACCAGUUUGACUAUAAAAGUUAUUUAUUGCUAAGUAUAUGAAAUAUAUAAUGGUACUAGUAAUAAUAGACAUGCAAAGGAAAAACAAAUACAAACAAUUACAAUACUACCCUGGUUUCACUAAGCAUUUGGGGAAACUUAGCUCAAGCUUAACCAAUACAGUUCAGGUUCAGCAAUGUAUGCCUAGAGAGAAAAGAGAGAGAGAGAGAGUGCUGAGAUCUCACCAGUCCAAGGUACUCGAGUCUCAAAGCUGACAGGUAAAGUUCCUAGCACAGUCCUUGUAGGGAGACGAUAUGUUCUUCCAGCAUCCCAAGAACAAUGGGAUGGUGUCAGCACAGGAGUUUUCUUGAAGCACACACACUGCUGCUUUUUACAUAUCUUUAUACCCUCAGUUCAGCUGCUUUGAAGCACUCUCAAUAGUGUAAAUCAUUGUCUUUUCUCUUGACAAGGGGUUAUCUGGUUUGGAACAUCUCAAGAAACUAAUUGAUAAUCAGGAAACACAUAAUGUUAGGGAGUACCCAGACACUUGGGAGCCAGCUUGAAAUUCCUAUGGAUAGCAGAUAUACUGACGGGAUAUCUCAUGGUUUUUUCAGAAACAAUAGAUAGCUUGCAGCAUCAGGAUUUUGGAUUUUACUUGUUGUGAACAAGCCUCAGCUUAGCAUGACUUUUCCAGAUCUUACUAUAGUCUUUUAACAGACUUAAGACAAUUAUUGGAGUGUUUAUAACCUUUUGUGGAGAGGACUUCCAUCAGUUGUCCUGGGAAAAGCAUGACAACACCUGUGGUCAGGGCUCCAACGGGCUGGACACUGCAAUGAACCAUUGUUCAGAUGUUGCCCAUACCCCCUCGGACUCAGUCUCUUGCCUCAGCAUUCCCUAACCUGGCAACCGGGUUUUAUAAAAUCAAGUUUAAAUAGGCCUCCCACAGUGGGACCGGGGAAUGUAUGGCCUGAGAUGCCUAGUAAACUGGGGGUGGGGAGAGUCCUUUGUAAAUCCAGAUUAGAACUGGUCUGAUAAAUGCUGAGCUGGGUGUGUGUGAACAUGGGUUGAUUAGCAUUUGGAGCACAGAUGCCCCAUCAUGCAGUGCUCCCCUGCUUCUCUGAUCCCAGAAUUCAUUGCAGUCUCUGCUUCAGGCUUUCUGUUCUCCAUCUCCCAUGUAAAUGAAUGGUCAUCUGGUUCCAUCUUGGCAGCAAAUGAGACCUAGGGUAGUUGUUUCACUCUUGUCACCCUGAUCUGGAGGGUCUUAGGUGUGUCUCCCACUGCAUCUUAAUCAGUUUAAUUUAUGGAGGUGGGGGAGGGAGGGAGGGGGGUGAGUCCUUUGUGAGUCAGACAGACUGUGUCCUGUGCCAGGGUUGCCCAAGAACACAGCUGAGACGUAACAGGAGAAGCCAUAUCAGUGCUCUGUCUGUGGGAAGAGCUUCACCAGUUCAUCCUACCUGGUCCGGCGCCAACAUAUCCACACUGGGCAGAAGCCAUAUUAGUGCUCUGAGUGUGGGAAGAACUUCACUAGUUCAUCCCCCCUGGCCUGUCACCAACGUAUCCUCACACGGGAGAAGUGCUGAGUGUGAAAAGAGCUCCUCCCAGUCCUUCAGUCUGGUCACAAAACAGUGUAUGCACACAGGGGAGUGACUACAUCAUUGCCCUGAGUGUGGGAAGACCUUCACUAUUUCGUCCCACUUGGCCCGGCACCAACACAUCCACAGAGGGGAGAAGCCAUAUCAGUGCCCUGUGUGUGGGAAGAGCUUCACCCAGUCCUCCAAUCUGGUUCGAUACCAGCACAUCCACAUGGGGGAGAAGCCAUAUCAGUGCUCUGACUGUGGGACUUGGCUCACCCGCUCCUUCAAUCUGGCUGGACACAAGUGGAUUGCCUUUAAAAGCAAUCCUAACCCAUUUCAAAGAUAAGGGAGUGGGGGUGUGUAUUCACCUGUGACUCAAAAAAUAAAAGCAACUUCAAAAAAAACCAUGCCCAAUUCCACUUAUUUUG